UCCAGCUGUCUGAGUCAGUCCUACAUCCAAGCCCACGAAGGAGAGAAGAGAGCUGCAUUUGUACAUCUCAGGUCUUAAGGGGAGCCAAGGGGCCAUUCCCCAGGGGAAUGUACUUCAAGGUCAUAGGCAGGUAGAGCAGUUAGCUGCUACAUCUUUAUGGCUGCACUUCAGAGUCAUAGAACAGAUAUCUACUACAUUUUCCCCUUUUGUCUAAAUAAGGAAGUUCUAACAAUAUAAAACUAUAUACAAUAGGAAUGAUUAUCAUGUAUUGUCCAAGAAAGGGGAAAUGUAAUAACUUAAACAAAAAUAGAAAUACAACCAGCAAGAACAACAUUAACAAGAGACAGACACUAAAAUCCAGAGAUGUCCAGAACAUAGGUCUAUGAAAUGUUUGAAGAUUACCUAUCCAUAUGGCAUAUGUUUCUGUAAAUAUGGAAAGCCUAACUAACGUAACUAUAGAAAUGACAAGCACAGGUGACUAUUAGUCGCUAAGUCUUAUCUACCUAAACAACCUAAGGACUAAGGCUUCACAUAAACAAGGUGUUCAAGAGGCCAAUGUAAUAUGAGGAUUAUAAGAAAUGGAAAAAGUGAAAUGUGCCGCAGAGUUUUGGAUGGACUUUUGGCAUGUGAUGGAUGAAUGGAGACGGGGAGCCAAGGAACUCUUAAGUGAAAACUGGAACCUCAGCCAGGAUCUUGGAAAGUCAAUAAGUGAAAACAUCAGCACGUUUUGAAAAGAUUAAAACAAAUCACAGUGUAAAGAUAACUGUGGUGAUAAGAUUUCACUGAUAGCCAGUGAGAACAUGGGUCAGACAUGUUCUGAAUGCCCAAACAAAGAGCAAGAAGGGGAAUAUUUGGAAAUGCAUUAUUGUGCAUUUGCUAUAACACUGUAAUUUUGUCAUUAAUAGAAACCUCAAUGUUUAUCUCCUAAGGAUCAUGAUUUCCUUUUCUUAUCUACUGUAUUGAAGUAAAACCUUUAAAAUGCAAA